CGUAUAACGUCUCUCUUUGAUGGUUGUACGAAGUCUGGCUAACCGGAUCAUUGAGUUGAUAAAAUGAAUUUUUUGAAGCUGUCAGAAACAGUAAUAUGGAGGAUGCCAAAGUCAAAUCCUCUGAACAAGAAAAAUAUCACCAAGCAAGAGAAUCAAGAAAUGUUGGAUUUACCUCUAAUCAAGGGAUAGAGGAAGUGAAAAAGAACAAAACUACAAUCUCAACUGAGCAAGACUUGUAUGUCUUUCUUCUGGGAGAAAAGGGAGACACUGAUGAUGAAGCAGCUCUGCAGUGACGUCCAAGAUAAGAAUGCUGGAAAGCUCCAUCUCAUCACCACCACCACCACCACCAUCAUCAUCUUGAAUUGCUAAAUUUGAUGCCUACAGGCUUCUUCUGCUCUGUUUUUCUGCCAAUUUUUUAAUUAAUAAUCGGGCUUUUGAGCCCAGUUAAAUUCAUUUUGAGUAGUUUCUUAAUUUAGCCUGAUCAACAAGUGUUCCCAAGAAGCUCCCUGAAUCCAUUUGAUUUCUUUUAUAUUGCCUCCAGGUGAAAUAAACUAUAGGGAUGCAGAAGCUACAGAACUAUUCAGCAGGAAGUUCUUGAAAAUAUAUUAUAUAGGUCAUGUGAACAGUGUAUAGCUGAGGGGACUCCAAGAUACAAGAUGAGCUCAUGAAACGGCACCCGUUGCCUGACCUUUUUUGCCCUUUUUUUUUUCGGGCCUGAUCCUUUUCAGAUAAAUGAGCUUUAUGGCUUAUGUUCAGUCAGUGUUAGAAGCUCACUUGGCUUUCAGAUGAUUGAAGAGCUGUUUUACAAAGCAAUUAUUCAAAUUAAAUUAUGAACAUUGACAUUUUGAGAAAAUGAACCUUUUAAAUUAGUGUGUGUGUAAUAUAGAGAAAAUUA